rnacentral:lncRNA from 1 species
ACUCAUCGAACCCAAGCUACCUGCCAAAUUGGUAGAGGCUAGGGUUCUACCAGGUCUCGGGCGUAGGUUGUAGGGGUGGAAGUGCGGGCUGCGAGGUUGGGGACGCCAGCGCCGGCGGUUGGGCGCCGUCGCGGCGUGAGAGAGAGAGAGAGAGGCGGCUAGGGUUUGGGGCUCUCGUCUCCUGAGGGAGACGACAACAGAAUAUACUGUUUAUUGUCUGCUUAAUAUCGAAGGGGUACAUGUGUUUAUAUAGGAGGACAGCCUCCACUAAACCCUAGAUAACUUGGACUCUAACUUGGACUCUAAUAUAACUUGGACUCUAAUAUAACUUGGACUCUAAGAUAGGUAAGAUAACUUGGGCUAAGCCCGUAAUUAACCCUGCCCAUUGGGCCUCCUCCGUUGGUACGUUGUACCGGUCAUAACAUGCUUUCCUAACAGUUGCCACCCAACGAGGCAUUUGACUGAAACUCAUCUUGAAACCCCAACAUUGUUCAGAUUUAAAUGCAGAAAUGCACUGAACUUCGCGUCAAAACAGAUUGACAGCUACGAUCAGGCCCUGCAUUUGAGUGUGAGGAGUUGUUCUCGGCCUACAAUCAGUUCGCCAUUCUGCCCAACGUUGCAUAUUAUUUCCACUAAAGAACUUUAUCACUCAGAGUACUGGUCCUCAGGAUCUUGUGUCAAACUGACAUCUUAACAUGUUAAAACCCUAGAGUGGGAAACAGAUACAACCACGUUAGGAAAAAACAUGGUGAUCUUGGGGCGGUUUGUUCUGUCCCUGUUUAGGCAAAAACUGGUACUGAUUAUCAUUGUAUGGACCUGCUAUCAGGCUUCGUUUAUGAAAUGAAUGGAGCCGCGGAGUUCUUUN